rnacentral:rRNA from 1 species
UACGUAGGGUGCGAGCGUUAAUCGGAAUUACUGGGCGUAAAGCGUGCGCAGGCGGUUAUGUAAGACAGAUGUGAAAUCCCCGGGCUCAACCUGGGAACUGCAUUUGUGACUGCAUGGCUAGAGUGCGGGAGAGGGGGAUGGAAUUCCGCGUGUAGCAGUGAAAUGCGUAGAUAUGCGGAGGAACACCGAUGGCGAAGGCAAUCCCCUGGGCCUGCACUGACGCUCAUGCACGAAAGCGUGGGGAGCAAACAGG